UCUGGGCAGAACCUGGGAAGGGAUGUGGCCAUCGGGGGAUCCCUCCAGGCCAUCUCCUCAGAUGGGGGCUGGUCGACUAGCUUCUGAGUCCUCCAAGGAACCGGGUCCUUCUAGUCAUGACUCUGCCCAGAUGAAGAAGGAGAGCACUUCUCUCCAUCAGGAGGAUCUGAGCUUCUCUUAAUUAGAAUCAGCUCCUUGGCUUCUACCCCUUAAAAAAAGGUUAUUUUCCAGAAUCUUGGAAUCAGCUGGGUCUGGUUUGAGCGGCGCCUAAGACUGACUCUCCGUCUGGGCAUGUGCCGGCAUCUACCCUGUGAAAACUCCACCUCCAGGUCGGUGCUGUGGACCUGCAGAAGCCAGCAGGCAGGAUGAUCAUGGUCACCUGGCCACACAGCAGCACACAGAAAAUGCCGCUCAACUAUCCCGAGAGUGAGGUUGCGACAUUUCAACACUGGAGAGCGCCAGAGACCGCGAAAUCCAAUCCAGGCUCGAAGGGCUGCAGCACCAAAUGUGUCCACCAGGCGGCGCGAGAGCUGGAGGAGGGCCGGCACCUCUAGGUUCUCCCUGUGCUGUGAUGGGGCAGAGAGGGAUGCAAGCCCAAGAGGACGGUCUUAGGACCCAGCCAGGUUACCAGUGCUCUUUACCCCAAACGGUUGGGGAAACUAAAGCUUUAGUCUAUGAGCUAAUAUGUGACCAGAAAAAAAA